UACGGAGGGGGCUAGCGUUGUUCGGAAUUACUGGGCGUAAAGCGGGUGUAGGCGGAUCUCUAAGUCGGGGGUGAAAGCCCAGGGCUCAACCCUGGAAUUGCCUUCGAUACUGGAGAUCUCGAGUCUAGGAGAGGUGAGCGGAAUUCCGAGUGUAGAGGUGAAAUUCGUAGAUAUUCGGAGGAACACCAGAGGCGAAGGCGGCUCACUGGACUAGUACUGACGCUGAGACCCGAAAGCGUGGGGAGCAAACAGG
rnacentral:rRNA from 1 species